UACGGGGGGGGCAAGCGUUGUUCGGAAUUACUGGGCGUAAAGGGCGCGUAGGCGGCGCUCCAAGUUAGGCGUGAAAGCCCCGGGCUCAACCUGGGAAUAGCGCUUAAGACUGGGGUGCUCGAGUGCGGGAGAGGUGAGUGGAAUUCCCAGUGUAGAGGUGAAAUUCGUAGAUAUUGGGAAGAACACCAGUGGCGAAGGCGGCUCACUGGCCCGCAACUGACGCUGAGGCGCGAAAGCGUGGGGAGCAAACAGG
rnacentral:rRNA from 1 species